rfam:Perkinsus marinus ATCC 50983 gcontig_1104296164158, whole genome shotgun sequence.
AUUGUUCACCCGCCAAUAGGGAACGUGAGCUGGGUUUAGACCGUCGUGAGACAGGUUAGUUUUACCCUACUGACAAAGUAGAUACUGCGACAGUAGUCGAAGUUAGUACGAGAGGAACACUUCGUCCAGAUACUUGGUUAAUGCCGUUGUCUGAAAAGACAGUACGGCGAAGCUACCAUCUGCUGGAUUACGGCUGAACGCCUCUAAGCCGGAAUCCAUGCUGGAUAAGCAGUGUUGUACACCGUGCUCAAUGCUACAAGAAAAAGGCUAGGUCAGGCUUCGGCCUGACCAAAAUUCAAGCUGCUAUACCUCUGGCUGCAUUGACUUGUGGUCAGAGUGUAUGGUGAUCAUAGCAAUUGCAAGUAUUGGGCUCGAUAAAUCCUUUGAAGACGACUUAAUUGCAUCCGGGUAUUGUAAGUGUUGAGAGUAGGCUUAGUCUUACGAUCCACUGAGAUUCAUCCCGUGUUGCGCCGAUUUGU